rnacentral:lncRNA from 1 species
ACCACCUCCUCUCUGAUACGGUCUUCACCAUGGUAGAUCCACCAGUAGUAGCCCGGCGUAUAACCAUGGUACACCAAAUGUUUACCCAUGGUCUCCUUGUUCACCCUCCUCUUGUUGUCACAGUGGCUGCACGGACACCAAACUAGCAAAUGCCCUCUAGCUACAACCGCGCCAAAUGCGUGGUUCAAGAAAGCAUCUGUCCUCUUCACCCAAUCCAUGUCGUAAUCAUUUCGGCUUCUUCGCCCGGUGUACAUCCACUGACGGUCCUCCAUCCUUUGACAAAUACGACACCAAGUAACGUAACCACCUAGCCGGUAUUCCUACUGUCUAAUAGGUGAGGAUAGGUCCUAAUCCCACCCGCGUAUGCGUAGAUGAGGUCAGUUUCCAUGCUCCGCUACGAUCCGAGACAGAAUUUCGGCAGCACAUGUGAGAUGUUUGGGUUUUGUGCACCAGACGUUACCACAGACUCAGAAUUUUUUGAAAUUUUUAUCAUAGCAUCCACAUGUGAUAACAUGUUAUGUCGCCAAGUUUCGUGAUUUUCUGAGUUUGUUUUCAUUUUAUAUAUUCAAAAAAAAAGAUUUCACGCAACUUGGUCCACAUGUUUCGGGGGGUAAACGUUCGAUAUUUCAUGUGGCUUUCUGCAUACGGCCUGGAAAUGCACUAACAAUCAUGAAUGUCAAGAUUGAAAUAAUUAAAUACUAUUAUUUAAUGCACCUGUAGUUUGAAUUUGAAAUUUGUCGAAAAAUUCAACAAAUUCAAAAAAUCCAAAAAAUAUACCAACGUUAUUUCAAAAUGAACCAAACUUUAGCAUGUACUUAAAAAUAGUGUAGGUGUGCCACAGAAAGAAAAAAAACAUGGAUCCAAAAAAACAAAAAAAAAAUUUGUCGAGGGCCUACUCCAGACCCUCGGCAAAGAGGGGAGUUGCCGAAGGCAGGCUGGCGGGCCCUCGGCAAAGUCUGACCUCCGGCAGAGCUUUGCCGAGGGCUUAACUACGGGCACUCGGCAAAGCCUAACGUCCAGAGCCAUCGUUACUCUGGGCCCACACCUCCGAGCGCCCC